UGGGGAAUAUUGGGCAAUGGGCGCAAGCCUGACCCAGCAACGCCGCGUGAGGGAAGAAGGUUUUCGGAUUGUAAACCUCUGUCGCAGAUGACGAAACAAAUGACGGUAAUCUGUGAGGAAGCCCCGGCUAACUACGUGCCAGCAGCCGCGGUAAUACGUAGGGGGCGAGCGUUGUCCGGAAUUACUGGGCGUAAAGGGAGCGUAGGCGGUCGAUUAAGUUGGAUGUGAAAUACCCGGGCUUAACUUGGGGGGUGCAUCCAAUACUGGUUGACUAGAGUACAGGAGAGGAAAGCGGAAUUCCUAGUGUAGCGGUGAAAUGCAUAGAUAUUAGGAGGAACAUCGGUGGCGAAGGCGGCUUUCUGGACUGACACUGACGCUGAGGCUCGAAAGCGUGGGGAGCAAACA
rnacentral:rRNA from 1 species